rnacentral:lncRNA from 1 species
AGGUAUGAAUGUGAAAAGAUUUAAACGUCUGUUCAGGAUGAAGUACAACCAGAGAAGCAUUUGUCACCUUUGCUACAAAUCUUAAGAUGCAGUUCCAGCCAUUUAAUUUCCCUUACCUAUAGAGGACAUUUUCAAAUAACGAGAAGUAAAUUCAGCAAAUGAAUUAAACUCGAAGAUACCCAGGUGCUGAGAAGAAAAUGAAGAUUUCUUUCCUGAGGUUUUGCUAACGUUUUUUUAUGAACAGAUAGUUACAGCUGAACAAGUGACAUCUCAGAACACGAGAUUUCAUCAAUCUUCUUCAACAGAGGAUCGAAAAUAUGAAUCACAUUACCAACAGACUGGAAUUUGUAUUAAAUGUAUCAAUAAGCAGUGUGCUCACAUCAUGACUGCUUGCCAGAAGGCUUGUAUUCUCAAUGAUGAACUACAAUUUUUCCCAUCAGUAAGUCAAAAGCUGGAGCCAUUCAGCAUUAUAUCAUUUGAGCCCAGACAUCCAUUAACACAUUUAGAGACAUGGGCACACAGCUCCAGUAUACUGUGAUUACUACCAGAUAAUCUGUUCCUAGUCUCUCUUCAAAGUUAAGGAUAUAGAUAAUAACUGAACUCAAGAAUAAACCAGGAAUACAAGACCAGCAU